rnacentral:rRNA from 1 species
GACGAACGCUGGCGGCGUGCCUAAUACAUGCAAGUAGAACGCUGAAGAGAGGAGCUUGCUCUUCUUGGAUGAGUUGCGAACGGGUGAGUAACGCGUAGGUAACCUGCCUUGUAGCGGGGGAUAACUAUUGGAAACGAUAGCUAAUACCGCAUAACAAUAGGUGACACAUGUCAUUUAUUUGAAAGGGGCAAUUGCUCCACUACAAGAUGGACCUGCGUUGUAUUAGCUAGUAGGUGAGGUAACGGCUCACCUAGGCGACGAUACAUAGCCGACCUGAGCGGGUGGGCGGCCACCCUGGGACUGAGACACGGCCCAGACUCCUACGGGUGGCAGCCGUAGGGAAUCUUCGGCAAUGGGGGCAACCCUGACCGAGCAAGGCCGAGUGAGUGAAGAAGGUUUUCGGGUCGUAAAGCUCGGUUGUAAGUCAAGAACGAGUGUGAGAGUGGAAAGUUCACACUGUGACGGUAGCUUACCAGAAAGGGACGGCUAACUACGUG